GGAGGAAGUAGACGAAGGACGCAGGAGUGUGGGAGAGGAGGAGGAGAAACAGCAGACCACACCCACAGGAGGAGGAGAGAAGAUGAGGAUACGUCUACGCAGCAGGGCCAGUUUCCAAAGCACCAUGAUCUGCUCACCAAAGAAGCGAAUGAACUGGGACAUACAGCCAGCCGGGUGUGUGAUCUGGUCCACAGAUUGCGCCUUAUGUAAGACACAGAUCAUUGCUACUUAAGAAUCAGCAGAGCAGCAUGAGCUGAGAUGAGUAAGGUUGCUGCACUGGAGGCCAGAGAAUCAUGGGAAGCUGAGAGAACGGGAGAACUGUCCAAAAUGAGAUGGAACACUGGAGUACGCAGGCCAGGGUCAAAGACUUAUUCUUACAUGAAAUCGGUGGUGACUCGGUGGGAGCCGCUGGCAAUGGCUUUGAACUCCACUCCCUCCAGGUCCAUGUCUUUGGGCAGACACCACUCAAGCAUGUUUCCUGUCACACACACACACACACACAUGAAAACAUCAGUAAUAAAACACACAUACACACGCGACGUGAGGAGACAAUUCCACUAACACCGGAAGUGUGUUUGCAUCAUUUCAUGAAACUGCCCGCGCUGGGAGGCCAUUAUGUGUCAGUUGAGAGAGAGAGAGAGAGAGAGAGAGGCUAAAGUGGCAGCUGAGCAAAUAUGGUCUGAUGGGAGCAGAGAGUGUGACUCAGCCUGUGUGCUGUUCAAUCUUAUCACCAGCUACAAGUAUCAGAGCGUGGACUCACUGCAGAAAUGUAUCACGUUUUGGCUCCAGGUCUGUGCCUUCCACUGGCUCCAUCAGUCACCUGCAGAUUCUACAAACCCUAUUCUGGUGUCUGAUGACCCAAAAAACUGGACUUUGAGCAGCUUCGGAAAAUGAACUAAAGAGCGACGUUGACCGUGUGGCUUUUAUAACCAGAUAUUUACCGCCUCAGACUGUUUUCAUUGAUGAUAAUAACAAUUAGCAGAAACACAGACUGCACUGCACAGCUUUUGACCAGGCACUUAAAGAAACUCAUAAAUAUGACCAGAUCACGGCUCCGGCUUUUGUGUGUCAGACCUGCAGUCUGUAAAAUGAUGAAGAGCCCAGCUCCACCCUGCAGGAACCUCCCGUGUAAUCUAGGCAGCUUCUUGACUCCGUAUGUUUGGAGAAACACGAUUGGCUACAGUUUCACAGGGGGCUCAUCCAGUCUUUAAAAUGCCCCUCGUUAAAAAUUAAAGAGCUGCGCCGCAGAAACCAGCUGAUUGAGUCGCAUCCCUAACCUCGGCCUGACAUUUUUACACGCCAGCUCAUCUAGUGAUGCUACAGUGGAGGCAUGGCUUUUAAUCAUGACUGUAAACCUGUCUUCAACGGGGGGUUCAUGACCCUUAGGGGGGCCCUGCGUAUGUACUGCAAGGGCGUUGGAAAUGUUUUGGUUGAUUAAACGAUUAAAAAAACAUUUCUUUAAUAUUUUGCCAGUUAAAAUAUUAACAUUAAUGUACGACCAUGUGUUUGCAUAGCUUAGUAUGAAAUGUAAAAAAUCGGUCGCCCUAUUGAAUAUAAA